rnacentral:rRNA from 1 species
UGACGCUGGCGGCGUGCUUACACAUGCAAGUCGAACGGUGAAGGAGAGCUUGCUCUUUGGAUCAGUGGCGAACGGGUGAGUAACACGUGAGCAAUCUGCCCCUGACUCUGGGAUAAGCGCUGGAAACGGCGUCUAAUACUGGAUAUGAACCGCAGCCGCAUGGCUAGUGGUUGGAAAGAUUUUUCGGUCAGGGAUGAGCUCGCGGCCUAUCAGCUUGUUGGUGAGGUAAUGGCUCACCAAGGCGUCGACGGGUAGCCGGCCUGAGAGGGUGACCGGCCACACUGGGACUGAGACACGGCCCAGACUCCUACGGGAGGCAGCAGUGGGGAAUAUUGCACAAUGGGCGCAAGCCUGAUGCAGCAACGCCGCGUGAGGGACGACGGCCUUCGGGUUGUAAACCUCUUUUAGCAAGGAAGAAGCGAAAGUGACGGUACUUGCAGAAAAAGCGCCGGCUAACUACGUGCCAGCAGCCGCGGUAAUACGUAGGGCGCAAGCGUUAUCCGGAAUUAUUGGGCGUAAAGAGCUCGUAGGCGGUUUGUCGCGUCUUGCUGUGAAAACUGGGGGCUCAACCCCCAGCCUUGCAGUGGGUACGGGCCAGAC